ensembl:lncRNA
GGCUCUUCAACAUAGAAAGAUUUCACAAGGAAAGGUUAGCAUUUUUCAAGAAUUCGAGUGUCCUCUCAGAAAUGCCUCCUGUUCUCCACCCCACCUCCUUGCUGGUAUCAGCCACAAGUGGCCAGUCUUCCAGAAGCUCUGCUCAGGGCCCCCAGGGCACCUGCCUGCCCACUCCUGCCUGCUACUUAAGCUCUUCUCCACCGCUGGAACUCACUCCAGGGGCAGGUGGAGGAGACCCGAAGGUCCCAGGUGACGGGAGCCAUAACCCAGCCUGCUCUCUUCAGGGACAGAAGUCAUGCUGAAACGGGUCCUGCAGAACUCCUUACCCAACGUGUUGCAGAGGCCCCGUGGUCCUCCUAUCUGCAGGAUCGGCAUGGCACCCUGCCGGACUCCAGUAAGGAUGUUUAAACCCCGGAGAGUCACUGUGGAACUCUGGCCCCAUCUCGAGAGACCGUCACUUGAUGAUCUGCCACAGCCGAACUGCCAACAGUCCCUUUGUUGGGUUUGGGCUUGGAUGUGCUGGAAGACGGAGUACCUCUCCAGGAAGGGCCUUCACCAGGACCAGGCUCUGUGUCAGGGACAGCAGCGAAGCCUCAGGAGGAAAAAUUCUGACCAUCUGCAGGGCUUUUCAAAGCACAGAACAUGUUCAAGUAUGUUACCUGCUUCGUGGAGAGUAAUCACAGGCGAGUAUGUUUGCCUCCACACUCUGAUGGGGUCUGAGGGUAGACGCACACACGAAUGCUCUCUGGGGCGCAGCACCUGGUGUGGGGCAGGACCAGAAUAGAAGCUCCAUAAAUAUGGGAUGAAUGAAUGGAUGAAGGGAUGGGAGGAUGGACGGGAGAGGGAGGCAUAGGUUUCUGGAAUCUUCUCGCUGGACUCUGGAUCUCAUCCCCUACAUUUAUCUAUUCGGCCAGAUGGCCAGCCUGUCCAUUAACCUGUUCUUUGCAUUCUAAUGCACUACAGUGUUUAUGGGGACCCACUGCAAGCCAGGCCACAGCUGACUGCCGGACGCACAAUGAUGGCGGAGCCAUGAGCCAUGAGCCGUGACCUGAAGGAGCUCCAGUCCACGUUCCUCCAACUAACACAUUUUAAUGAGUGCUUCCUCUGACACCGACCUUGGGCUGGUUGGUGCUAGGGAAGAGACACGAAUCCGAGCGCUUCCCCCGCCCGUGACGGGCUCCCACAGGCCAAGGGGGUGUGAGUUACCAGGGUAUAAACGAGUGUGUGGUGUGAGAGGCUCGGAGCAUGGGCUCUGGGACCAGGCUGCCUGGGCUCUGAUCCCAAGUACUCACUGUGAGUGACCCUGAGCUAUUCACUUGGCUUCUCUGUGCCUCAGCUUCCUUGUCUAUAAAAUGGGAGCAAAAUAGCACCUGCCUCUGGUUGUCUGGGAGGAGUGAGUACCUAUGACACUAUAAUUUCCUGCCACUCAUGAGUGAUGGCAGGGGCUCACCUACUGCCCCACAGGGUGGCCUGUCUCUGGGACAAGUUCAUCUUUGACUGCAACACAGGCUGUGGUACUCAGGAGGUGCCCAAUAAACGGUGAUCAAAUGGAAGAGUGGUCCCA